rnacentral:rRNA from 1 species
AUUGAACGCUGGCGGCAGGCCUAACACAUGCAAGUCGAACGGUAACAGGAAGCAGCUUGCUGCUUUGCUGACGAGUGGCGGACGGGUGAGUCAUGUCUGGGAAACUGCCCGAUGGAGGGGGAUAACUACUGGAAACGGUAGCUAAUACCGCAUAACGUCGCAAGCCCAAAGAGGGGGACCUUAUGGCCUCUUGCCAUCGGAUGUGCCCAGGUGGGAUUAGCUAGUAGGUGGGGUAACGGCUCACCUAGGCGACGAUCCCUAGCUGGUCUGAGAGGAUGACCAGCCACACUGGAACUGAGACACGGUCCAGACUCCUACGGGAGGCAGCAGUGGGGAAUAUUGCACAAUGGGCGCAAGCCUGAUGCAGCCAGGCCGCGGGUAUGAAGAAGGCCUUCGGGUUGUAAAGUACUUUCAGCGGGGAGGAAGGGAGUAAAGUUAAUACCUUUGCUCAUUGACGGUACCCGCAGAAGAAGCACCGGCUAACUCCGUG